GGAAAGGCUCCUUGCUUGCAAGGGGUACUCGAGUGGCGAACGGGUGAGUAACACGUGGGUGAUCUGCCUUGCACUUCGGGAUAAGCCUGGGAAACUGGGUCUAAUACCGGAUAGGACCAUGCUUUAGUGUGUGUGGUGGAAAGUUUUUUCGGUGCAAGAUGAGCCCGCGGCCUAUCAGCUUGUUGGUGGGGUAAUGGCCUACCAAGGCGACGACGGGUAGCCGGCCUGAGAGGGUGUACGGCCACAUUGGGACUGAGACACGGCCCAGACUCCUACGGGAGGCAGCAGUGGGGAAUAUUGCACAAUGGGCGCAAGCCUGAUGCAGCGACGCCGCGUGGGAGAUGACGGCCUUCGGGUUGUAAACUCCUUUCGCUAGGGAAGAAGCCACUGUGUGGUGACGGUACCUGGAUAAGAAGCACCGGCUAACUACGUGCCAGCAGCCGCGGUAAUACGUAGGGUGCGAGCGUUGUCCGGAAUUACUGGGCGUAAAGAGCUCGUAGGUGGUUUGUCGCGUCGUCUGUGAAAUCCCGGGGCUUAACUUCGGGCGUGCAGGCGAUACGGGCAUAACUAGAGUGCUGUAGGGGAGACUGGAAUUCCUGGUGUACGGUGAAAUGCGCAGAUAUCAGGAGGAACACCGAUGGCGAAGGCAGGUCUCUGGGCAGGUUACUGACGCUGAGGAGCGAAAGCAUGGGUAGCGAACAGGAUUAGAUGACCCUGGUAGUCCAGUGGCGCGUAAACGGUGGGCGCCUAGGUGUGGGGGUUUUAGUUUAGCGAGUUCGCCGUGCCGUAGCUAACGC
rnacentral:rRNA from 1 species